rnacentral:rRNA from 1 species
UACAGAGGUCCCAAGCGUUGUUCGGAUUCACUGGGCGUAAAGGGUGCGUAGGUGGUGAGGUAAGUCGGAUGUGAAAUCUCCGAGCUCAACUCGGAAACUGCAUUGGAAACUACCUUGCUCGAGGGUUGGAGGGGGACUGGAAUGCUUGGUGUAGCAGUGAAAUGCGUAGAUAUCAAGCGGAACACCAGUGGCGAAGGCGAGUCCCUGGACAACUCCUGACACUGAUGCACGAAAGCUAGGGGAGCAAACAGG